UACAGAGGGUGCGAGCGUUAAUCGGAAUUACUGGGCGUAAAGCGCGCGUAGGCGGCUUUGCAAGUCGGGUGUGAAAUCCCCAGGCUCAACCUGGGAACUGCAUUCGAGACUGCAUUGCUAGAGUAUGGGAGAGGGAAGUGGAAUUUCAGGUGUAGCGGUGAAAUGCGUAGAUAUCUGAAGGAACAUCAGUGGCGAAAGCGACUUGCUGGACCAAUACUGACGCUCAUGUGCGAAAGCGUGGGGAGCAAACAGG
rnacentral:rRNA from 1 species